AGGCUGUUGCUGGUCUCUCUCUCACUGAGGGCAUGUGCACGCUUGUCAUCUUUAUUUUUCCAACUGUGCACAUAUUGUAGACCUGGAGUCGUAUCUUGUUGAUUCAUUUCGAGUUGGCACUGCAGUGCUUUUGUAACAAAAAGUCUGCUUUGCCUUUUGGCUUUUCAGGUCUAUGUCAUUUUUCACAACCUCACAUGUGUUUAGAAUGUUGAAUCAGGUCCUUUUUGGUACCUAUAAAAAAGUUAAAUAUACAACUUUCAGCAACGGAUCUCUUGGCUCUCGCAUCGAUGAAGAACGCAGCGAAAUGCGAUAAGUAAUGUGAAUUGCAGAAUUCAGUGAAUCAUCGAAUCUUUGAACGCAUCUUGCGCUCCUUGGUAUUCCGAGGAGCAUGCCUGUUUGAGUGUCAUUUCAAGUUCUCAAACCACAUCAAUGAUUUCUUGUUGGUGUGGCUUGGAUGUGGGGGAUUAUUCAUUUUGCAGGCUUCUGUCAAAGGAGGUCAGCUCCCCUGAAAUAGAUUAGUAGUAUCUGAGCUACUUACAGGUGUGAUAAUUAUCUAUGCCUUUCAGUAUGCUGCAUAAACAGAUGGCACUGCUUCCAACAAGUGAAGGGUCUCGAGAAGGGAUUCCACAUUUGACAAAUUUGACCUCAAAUCAGGUAGGACUACC
rnacentral:rRNA from 1 species